CCUUGAUUCAGCGGCGGACGGGUGAGUAAUGCCUAGGAAUCUGCCUGGUAGUGGGGGACAACGUUUCGAAAGGAACGCUAAUACCGCAUACGUCCUACGGGAGAAAGCAGGGGACCUUCGGGCCUUGCGCUAUCAGAUGAGCCUAGGUCGGAUUAGCUAGUUGGUGGGGUAAUGGCUCACCAAGGCGACGAUCCGUAACUGGUCUGAGAGGAUGAUCAGUCACACUGGAACUGAGACACGGUCCAGACUCCUACGGGAGGCAGCAGUGGGGAAUAUUGGACAAUGGGCGAAAGCCUGAUCCAGCCAUGCCGCGUGUGUGAAGAAGGUCUUCGGAUUGUAAAGCACUUUAAGUUGGGAGGAAGGGCAGUAAGCUAAUACCUUGCUGUUUUGACGUUACCGACAGAAUAAGCACCGGCUAACUCUGUGCCAGCAGCCGCGGUAAUACAGAGGGUGCAAGCGUUAAUCGGAAUUACUGGGCGUAAAGCGCGCGUAGGUGGUUUGUUAAGUUGGAUGUGAAAGCCCCGGGCUCAACCUGGGAACUGCAUCCAAAA
rnacentral:rRNA from 1 species